rnacentral:rRNA from 1 species
AGUGGCGGACGCGUGAGUAACGCGUGAGAAUCUGCCUUGGGGUCGGGGACAACCACUGGAAACGGUGGCUAAUACCGGAUAAGCCGAUUGGUGAAAGAUUUAUUGCCCGAAGAGGAGCUCGCGUCUGAUUAGCUAGUUGGUGAGGUAAGAGCUCACCAAGGCAGCGAUCAGUAGCUGGUCUGAGAGGACGAUCAGCCACACUGGGACUGAGACACGGCCCAGACUCCUACGGGAGGCAGCAGUGGGGAAUUUUCCGCAAUGGGCGAAAGCCUGACGGAGCAAGACCGCGUGAGGGAGGAAGGCUCUUGGGUUGUAAACCUCUUUUCUCAGGGAAGAAGCUCUGACGGUACCUGAGGAAUCAGCCUCGGCUAACUCCGUGCCAGCAGCCGCGGUAAUACGGAGGAGGCAAGCGUUAUCCGGAAUUAUUGGGCGUAAAGCGUCCGCAGGUGGCGAUUCAAGUCUGCUGUCAAAGCACGGGGCUUAACUCCGUAAAGGCAGUGGAAACUGAAUAGCUAGAGUGCCGUAGGGGUAGAGGGAAUUCCCGGUGUAGCGGUGAAAUGCGUAGAGAUCGGGAAGAACAUCGGUGGCGAAAGCGCUCUACUGGACGGCAACUGACACUCAGGGACGAAAGCUAGGGGAGCGAAUGGGAUUAGAUACCCC